UUCCCUAGUAAAUCCAGGCAUGCAGCAGCUCUUUUGCCACUCGGUCCGGCUGAGGGGUGUGUUCCGGCGGGAAAGUGACGAUAGAUUUCAAACUCAGUUUGGGUUGUUUUAAUCCUAUGUCCAGGUGAACUCAAUUCAGAACCAAAUGCAGUCUAAAGGAGGCUAUGAAGGAGAGGCCAUGUCUGUUAAUGUACAGAUGCAGCUGGUGGAUACAAAAGCAGGAUAAUUCGUGUUGUUGGAAGGGGGUCCCGUGAUGAGCUGUUUCUGCUCUCUGGUUCCCCUCCAGCAGCUCCCCACGUGCCCCGGCGGCAACUUCUCACUUCAUUCUUCCCCAGCAAACACAUGGACAGUUGUGCGCUCCAUGGUAUAGAGGCCGUGCUGCCCGUCGGACAGCAGGAUCCCACAGCGCUUCAGUGUUGUUUCCGUCACUGCUUCAUCGCAUGCCCCUCCAGCCUAGAAGUGCAAAGUGUGUCCCUGCUUUCUUCUGUGGUUUGCCGUGAACUGUUGCUUUUCAUCGUGCACAUCUGUGGGUCUGGAACCAAUGCGAACAGUCGUUUUGGGUCGGUUCUCUGUUGUUUGCUCAUUUCGCCAUGAAAAGACUGCUUUUAUUUUUGAUUGAGUGAUCAGCACGGAGCCGACAACAAUGUUUGUAUGAGAAAGUGGCUGCUUACAGUCAUGCGGUGCCAAACUGCUCAGUGCAAUGGAAGGACAGGAAGUACUUUGUGUUUAAACAUGAGCACAACAAAUGCAUUUUUAUGGAAAUGUGAUUGUUACUUUGCCGUUUACAAUGUUCAAAUUUGCAUAUCUUGUUUUUUUCUGUUUUCAUUGUAAUGAUUUUUCAGAUUAGCGUAAUCA